rnacentral:rRNA from 1 species
AUUAACGCUAGCGGCAGGCAUAAUACAUGCAAGUUGAACGGCAGCACAGGUAGCAAUACCGGGUGGCGGGUGGCGCACGGGUGCGUAACACGUAUGCAACCUACCCUAUACAGGCGAAUAACCUUUAGAAAUGAGGGCUAAUACGCCGUGGUAUUAUCUUGGGGCAUCUUGAGAUAAUUAAAGAUUUAUCGGUAUAGGAUGGGCAUGCGUCCCAUUAGUUAGUUGGUAGGGUAACGGCCUACCAAGGCUAUGAUGGGUAGGGG